rnacentral:tRNA from 1 species
AGGGGUGUGGCUCAGUGGUAAAGCUCUUACCUAGCACGCAUGAGGCUUUGGAUUCAAUUCCCAGUACCACCA